GACUUGAUUAGAUUGAGCCUUGGUAUGGAAACCUGCUAAGUGAUAACUUCCAAAUUCAGAGAAACCCUGGAAUUAAAAAUGGGCAAUCCUGAGCCAAAUCUUGAUGUUAAGAAAACAGAGGAUAGGUGCAGAGACUCAAUGGAAGCUGUUCUAACGAAUGGAAUUGACGUUGACUACAUUGCGUUAGUAGCUGGAAUCCUUCUAUCAAAAUUACAGAAGGGAUGACCCUAUAUGCGUAUAUAUACAUACUGACAUAUCAAACGAUUAAUCACGACUCGAAUCUGGAAUACAUAACAUAUUAUUAUAUAUAUAAUAUUUAUUUAAAAAUUUAUAGAUUAAUUAAGAGUUAUUAUAAAUCUAUUCCAGUCGAAGUUGAAGGAAGAAUCAAAUAUUCAGUAUUCAGUGAUCAAAUCAUUCAUUCCAAAGUCGGAUAGAUCUUUUGAAAAAAUGAUUAAUCGGACGAGAAUAAAGAGAGAGUCCUGUUCUACGUGUCAAUACCGACAGCAAUGAAAUUUAUAGUAUUAGGAAAAUCCGUCGACUUUAGAAAUCGUGA
rnacentral:ncRNA from 1 species